rnacentral:tRNA from 1 species
UAGUAAAGUCAGCUAACU